AUGCAACUGAAGCCAUUUCCCUGCUCUGAGACCUCGGACAAGUCACUCCCUGCCAGGGCUGCAGUUUCCUGUCUCUAAAAGGAGUUGAUGAGCAGCUCUAGGUGGGGUGGCGAUGGGGGACGCAGGAGGUGCCCCGUGCCUGUGGUCCCCUGUUGAAGUUCACGCCUCCUCAAAUGCAGCGGCCACCCAGCGCUCGCUGGGUGCCAUGUGUGCCCCACAAAACACCUUUCCUCAGCCUCGAGGACAAGUACCACAGGCCAGUUCCGCGGGAAAAGUUAAUGGUGGUUUCCUCCAGGGUCCCUAAAGCCCCUCCUGAAAAGUGACUGUGGUUCCCCUCCCCCUGUCCUCAGGUUUUGAGUGGGCACAACCUAAGCUGGAUCUGAUAGGUCCUGUCACCUGCUGGUUCCUCCCUGGUUGACACCAAGCAGAGGGGCAAUGCUCUCUCCCUGUCCUUAGACCCAAGCAGGAGAAAAAUCUACCCUCCCUCCUUCCCUCCCCAUUCCCCAUCACACCAUGAUUGGCUUUUAAGCUUCAGGGAUGUUUCCCGGACCGAGUGUGGCUUCAGAGUCAGAGAGAUGUGAGUUCAAGACCACUUGCUUAGGAGGAAGCAAAAGAGGAGGAGAAGGCAGAGGAAGGCGACGACUGAGAACAAAAGAAGAGCAGUGGCAAAGGAGUGGCUUUUGUGGACAAGAUGCGACCACCUCAUGAGGAUCAAGAUGUACUCCUUGCUCUUCUCUGCACAGCAGUCUCAAAACUAAGCUACACCGUCUGUCUCCUCUGGUUACCAUUUCGAGAGGCAGCAAGGGUCUUCCUAACCCUCAGCUCCCUCUGAUUUUUGGAAUUCAGAUUUGGAUUUUGGAUGUACAUCAAGAGGCUGGCUCCAUGCAUUUUAAUUAAGCUGUCUUUUUUCAUUUAUUACUAAUACACUCCUCUUAACUAUGAUUUAUUUGUUAAACAAAGCACCAUAAGCCGUCACUUAUUCAUCUUAAUUUCAACAAAAUUAAAGUAGUCGCUGUUAGAUUGCACCUAAUUGCACUUGCAAUGAAAAGAACGGAGAUGUUAAUCAAAAUAAAUUGAAGAUAAACAAUAAAAUCAUUA